UAUCGGCAUAUGGAACUGACUGCUCCAUGUUUCCUAACCGGAGCAGCAGAUAGUAACUCUCUCUCCCACCAGAUUGACGAUUUUUUUAUGGACGCACCGCCCCGCAGUAGAAGUGGAAGAAUGUUUUGCGGAUUUCGAAAAAUCUUCUGUUUGUUGGAGAAGAAUGUUAUCUGAUAGUAACUGAUCAGGGUAGGUGACGGUAUCCACCAGAAAGCCACGCUAACUACGUGCCAGCAGCCGCGGUUAAUACGUAGGUGGCAAGCGUUGUCCGGAUUUAUUGGGCGUAAAGCGAGCGCAGGCGGUUUUUUAAGUCUGAUGUGAAAGCUUUCGGCUCAACCGAAGAAGUGCAUCGGAAACUGGGAAACUUGAGUGCAGAAGAGGACAGUGGAACUCCAUGUGUAGCGGUGAAAUGCGUAGAUAUAUGGAAGAACACCAGUGGCGAAGGCGGCUGUCUGGUCUGUAACUGACGCUGAGGCUCGAAAGCAUGGGUAGCAAACAGGAUUAGAUACCCUGGUAGUCCAUGCCGUAAACGAUGAGUGCUAGGUGUUGGAGGGUUUCCGCCCUUCAGUGCCGCAGCUAACGCAUUAAGCACUCCGCCUGGGGAGUACGAUCGCAAGAUUGAAACUCAAAGGAAUUGACGGGGGCCCGCACAAGCGGUGGAGCAUGUGGUUUAAUUCGAAGCAACGCGCAGAACCUUACCAGCCU
rnacentral:rRNA from 1 species